rnacentral:rRNA from 1 species
UACUUAGGUAACACAACUGAAGCUAAGCAGGGCUGGUCCUGGUUAGUAUUUGGAUGGGAGACUGUUGGGAAUACCAGGUGCCAUAGUAG